rnacentral:lncRNA from 1 species
UCGCUGUUCGCCGCUCUCCCUUCGCUUCCUCCGUCGCAGUCCUGUUUCUUUUCUUGCGCGUGCGUUCAGCUCCUUUGCUCAGCCGCGGAGGUGGAGGGACCACGAGGACUGCGGGCCCUAGGGUCCACAGAUGACAUAUCAGUCGAUAGGCAUGCAUUUACUGUUCGAGGGAAACAAAUAAGGGUGCAGCUUAGGCGAAAAGAAAAUCGUCUUAUUGCCAGUGUCUAAACUCCUAACGACGGAAUGUGUCUCUGAGACUAUGAGUGUGGAUACACGUGUACUUAAAACAGCCCCGCCUGUGUGCAGAGCUCUUGCUGUACGUCAACGCUUUACAGGAGCUAUCGCACUUAAGCCUCAGAACAACUUGAUGAGGUCUGUGAAGUGUCAGACCUCAAGAUGGACAACUGUUUAAUUAGAUACAGCAUCUAGUGUACUACUGAAAUCAUAAUAAGCCUAUACUACAUUACUGAAACUUCUUGGUAGGAACAUGAUGAGUUUCUCCCCACAAAUUCACCCAUCCACAUUCUCUUUUUAUUUUUAUUUAUUUAUUUGAGGAAGAUUGGCCCUGAGCUAACAUCUGUUACCAAUCGUCCUGUUUUGCUUGAGGAAGACUGUCACUGAGCUAACAUCUGUGCCAAUCCUCCUUUAUUUUAUGUGAGAUGCUGCCACAGCAUGGCUUGACAUUAUCUUUGUUUUGUCUAGUAACUUUGAUAAUUUCUUUUCCCUGUAGCUAACUGAUACAUUAAAAAACAACUAUAAAAUCCUGUCAGGGCUGGCCCCUGUGGCCUAGUAGUUGGGUUCAUGGGCUCCGCUUUGGUGGCCCCGGCGUUUCACCGGUUCGGAUCCUGGGUGGGGACAUGGCACCGCUCGUUGGGUCAUGCUGAGGCAGUGUCCCACAUACCACAACUAGAAGGACCCACAAGUGAAAAAAUAUGCAAGUAUGUACUGGGGGGGAUUUGGGGAGAAGAAGAAGAAGAAAAAAAAAAACAGAAAAUUGAAGGGUUUGAAUAAAAUAAACUUUACCUUGAGUAAAAAAACUUUUAAAAAUUACAACUCAUGACUUUCUCAGAGACUUGGGAUAAGCUUUGUCCUGGAAAUUGAAGAGGACCAGGAAGCAGGAAUCUAUUAACCUUCAUUUCUUAUUUAUUUUUAGUAAACGGAAGUAAAAUUGAGACCCUCUGGUCUCUAGGAGAUAUGAGUGAGGAUGUGUGACCAGUUCUCUAUGACAGCUGAGCCUCAUGUUACAUUUCUAUUCUUAAUAUAUAAAAAUUAUUUCUUGUAGAACAAAUCUAUAGGGAAAUAAGGAAAAUAAAAUACAGCACAUUCUCUUUUGGCAAAGAAAUGCUUAUGUGUUUAAAACAAAUUAACUUUUUAAGGCAGCUCUGAAGAAGUAAUUUAUUUUAAAUAGGUGAACAGUUUACAGCUCUUGUGGGAACACUUUUUCCUGACUUUUCUUCAUCAUAGGAUUAGGCCCUAUGUUUUUAAUUUAAGUCCUUUAAUUUUUGCUGUUAACAUUUAAUUUACUUGAUGACCCCAUACUGUUAACUUUUGACCCAGUGAACUCAGGAUGGUAUAUACAGACCAUAUACCUAAUUUUAAAGAAACUCUUAAAGGAAAAUAAGAGGUUUGAUGUGAAACAGAUUAAAUUCAUUCAGCUUUCCAUGUAGGGAAGUAUCAUACAUACUUAAUCAAAGAACUUUUUUCUUCUUUGGGAGGAUGCAUUUUUAUAAGCAUGGUAUUUUUUUACAAUUAGAUGUUUAUGCCAUUGGCAAAACAUUCCAAAGCUGAUGUGACUCUAACUGCAAUACUUUUAAUAAACUGCAAAACUACUAACAUAGUAUGGUAUGUACCAAACCUUUUCCUGACAAGAAAUUCUUGUACCAUAUGGCUAAAUCUAAUGAUCCCCCCAUCUACCCUUAUUUAUACUCAAAUUUCCUUUCCUUUUAUAGGAAUUGAAAUUCCUAAAGAGUUUAAUCCUUUAGAUGUAAAAACUGUUAGGACAUACAGUUAAUUAUGAUAAAGUUCAAAGCUGCUUCUAAGUCAUUCAAUGUAAGAUACAUAACUUUUAUUUGUCCUUCAAACUAGACCUGUGGACUCACUUUUGAACAUUUCUCCCUAAUUAUAAAACACACGUGCAUUAAAGAAAAUAGAAAAAAAAUAAGGAAUGAUUGGAAGGCAUUGCUUCUGAAGUCCCCUUAACAAUAUACCACUUUCUUCCUUCUUCCCAGUUGACAAAGGAAGGCUCUGUCUAGAAUGACUCUUUAGUCCCUUACUUGCUUGUAGAAUACAAUAGUAGUAUAAUUAACCAGGAUAGAGACAUACGGAGGAAGAAUAGGGCUUUUGGGUGUGUGUGUUUGUGUGUCUAAGGGUGUGGGAUGGAAAAACUGGAAAAGGGGAGGAAGAUGAGACGCCCAAUGAGGACAUACUGAAUAUGGAAGAUUAAGUGCCAAUGGGAUAGCUUUGUAGAGAUGUUCGGUAGGGAGCACAACAUAUAUGUCUGAGGCUUAGAAAGGCCUGGGCUGGAAGGAGAUAUCACUAAAGAGGUGAUAGUUGAAAUUAUGGAGGAAAUGGAUGCUAUUGCUCAUACAGACUGAAUAUAGUGAGAGGAAAUGAGAACCAACAUUAGUAAAUAGGCAAAGUAAGAGGAGGCAGCAAAAGAACUGAGAAGAAAUAGCAGCCAAUGGGACGGAGGAUUCAGAAGGAAAGAAGUCAGGAGUGUCAAGAUAAAGACAGGUCAAAUAAAUUGAAAAAGAUCAUGGCAUUUGGCAAUUUUGUAAUUAGUAAUGUUUGCCAGAACACUUUCAUUGCAUUGAGGUGGCAGAAUUUUGUUUGUGUUGGGGUGAAAAGUAUAUUAAAAUUGAGAAAGGUUACAAUAGAUUUAUAUUAUUUCAAAGCUCUUCAUUUCUUCUUCAAAAUAGAAAUAAAGGAUGAUAGUUGUGAGGAGGUGGUUACAGAAUCGAGGAGGAGAUUCUACAGUGAAGAGUUUAAUAUAUUUAUAAAAUGUGGGAAAGAGUGAG